CCUACGGGAGGCAGCAGUGAGGAAUAUUGGUCAAUGGGCGGGAGCCUGAACCAGCCAAGUCGCGUGAAGGAAGAAGGUACUUAGUAUUGUAAACUUCUUUUGUCGGGGAACAAAGGCGGAGACGCGUCUCCGGAUGAGUGUACCCGAAGAAAAAGCAUCGGCUAACUCCGUGCCAGCAGCCGCGGUAAUACGGAGGAUGCGAGCGUUAUCCGGAUUUAUUGGGUUUAAAGGGUGCGUAGGCGGAUUGUUAAGUCAGUGGUAAAAUUGAGGGGCUCAACCCCUUCCCGCCAUUGAAACUGGCGUUCUUGAGUGGAAGAGAAGUAUGCGGAAUGCGUGGUGUAGCGGUGAAAUGCAGAGAUAUCACGCAGAACCCCGAUUGCGAAGGCAGCAUGCCGGCUUCCUACUGACGCUGAAGCACGAAAGCGUGGGGAUCGAACAGGAUUAGAUACCCGAGUAGUC
rnacentral:rRNA from 1 species